rnacentral:rRNA from 1 species
GAGUUUGAUCAUGGUCAGAUUGAACGCUGGCGGCAUGCCUUACACAUGCAAGUCGAACGGCAGCACGGGAGCUUGCUCCUGGUGGCGAGUGGCGAACGGGUGAGUAAUGCAUCGGAACGUAUCCUGGAGUGGGGGAUAACGUAGCGAAAGUUACGCUAAUACCGCAUAUUCUGUGAGCAGGAAAGCGGGGGACCUUCGGGCCUCGCGCUCUUGGAGCGGCCGAUGUCGGAUUAGCUAGUUGGUGAGGUAAAGGCUCACCAAGGCGACGAUCCGUAGCAGGUCUGAGAGGAUGAUCUGCCACACUGGAACUGAGACACGGUCCAGACUCCUACGGGAGGCAGCAGUGGGGAAUUUUGGACAAUGGGGGCAACCCUGAUCCAGCCAUGCCGCGUGAGUGAAGAAGGCC